rnacentral:rRNA from 1 species
UACAGAGGGUGCGAGCGUUGUCCGGAAUCACUGGGCGUAAAGGGCUCGUAGGUGGCCAACUAAGUCAGACGUGAAAUCCCUCAGCUUAACUGGGGAACUGCGUCUGAUACUGGAUGGCUUGAGUUUGGGAGAGGGAUGCGGAAUUCCAGGUGUAGCGGUGAAAUGCGUAGAUAUCGAGAGGAACACCUGCGGCGAAGGCGGGUUGCUGGGCUGACACUGACGCUGAGGCGCGAAAGCCAGGGGAGCGAACGGG